rnacentral:rRNA from 1 species
GACGAACGCUGGCGGCGUGCUUAACACAUGCAAGUCGAACGGAAAGGCCCUGCUUUUGUGGGGUGCUCGAGUGGCGAACGGGUGAGUAACACGUGAGUAACCUGCCCUUGACUUUGGGAUAACUUCAGGAAACGGAGGCUAAUACCGGAUAGGAGCUCCUGCUGCAUGGUGGGGGUUGGAAAGUUUCGGCGGUUGGGGAUGGACUCGCGGCUGAUCAGCUUGUUGGUGGGGUAGUGGCUUACCAAGCCAUUGACGGGUCGCCGGCCUGAGAGGGUGACCGGCGACAAUGGGACUGAGAUACGGAGCAGACUCCAACGGGAGGCAGCAGUGGGGAAUAUUGCACAAUGGGCGGAAGCCUGAUGCAGCAACGCCGCGGGUGUGAUGACGGUCUUCGGGGUGUGAACCGCUUUCGCCUGUGACGAAGCGUGAGUGACGGUACUGGGUAAAGAAGCACCGGCUAACUACGUG